GUGAGCCUGACAGUUGCCAUAAUGAUGGGCUUUGCGCAGAUCAUAUUGAUGAAUCGUCUGGCAUCCACUGUAUUUGCUUCUUAGACUUUUUCGGAGAGAGAUGCGAAUUGCGUCCGUGUCGCAAUAAUGGCUGCUUGAAUGGUGGAACGUGUGGAGUUCAUACUAUAACUUUGCGAUCGUGGUGUAUUUGUCCCGAGGGUUAUUUCGGAACAUUGUGUCAAAAAGCACAAUGUGGGGAAAACGCCCAAUGCGCUGACACGCUGCGUAAUCGUACAUUGCCCGAGAACAAUGACAACUGCAAUUCAUUAUAUUACCAACAUUGUAUUUGCAACGAGGGUUACAGCGGGGAUGGAUUCAACUG